GUGUUCGCUUCAACAGCACAUAGACUACAAGUGGAACAAUACAGAGAAGGCUAGCAUGGCCCCUGCACAAGGAGGACACACAAACUCAUGAGGCAUUAAAAAAUAAA